ensembl:miRNA
GGUAGAGUUGGCCGAUGGAGGCACUGGAGGAAGGCUAGAGGUUGGGAGGAGGGGAGAAGCCAGGUAUUUCUUCCUCAUUUUCUGCUUCAAGUGGUGUCUCUUGUCAGCUCCUGAGCCUCCUCUGU